rnacentral:rRNA from 1 species
GUGAGGAAUAUUGGUCAAUGGGCGAGAGCCUGAACCAGCCAAGUAGCGUGAGGGAUGACUGCCCUAUGGGUUGUAAACCUCUUUUGCAGGGGGGUAAAGUGGUUCACGUGUGGACCAUUGCAAGUACCCUGCGAAUAAGGAUCGGCUAACUCCGUGCCAGCAGCCGCGGUAAUACGGAGGAUCCGAGCGUUAUCCGGAUUUAUUGGGUUUAAAGGGAGCGUAGGCGGGGGUUUAAGUCAGCUGUGAAAUGCCGUGGCCCAACCAUGGAACUGCAGUUGAAACUGGACCUCUUGAGAGUACAUAAGGAAGGCGGAAUUCGUGGUGUAGCGGUGAAAUGCAUAGAUAUCACGAAGAACUCCGAUUGCGAAGGCAGCUUUCCGGGGUACAUCUGACGCUGAAGCUCGAAAGUGCGGGAAUCAAACAGGAUUAGAAACCCGAGUAGUCC